GCAAGUUUUGAAGGCUCCCAAUGGAUUCAGGUAAUGUCACCAAAGAUCUUAGAUUUGAUAGGUUUAAGUCAUGCAGGUUUUUGAGAUCACAUAACGAUGAGGGUAAUGAUUCUAGAGAAUAGCAUUCAGAAACGUUCAGAAUACGCAAGUUUUGAAGGCUCCCAAUAGAUUCAGGUAAUGUCACCAAAGAUUUUAGACACGAUAGGUUUAAGUCAUGCAGGUUUUUGAGAUCACAUAACGAUGAGGGUAAUGAUUUUAGAGAAAAGCUGUUCGAAAGGUCCAGAAUACGCAAGUUUUGAAGGCUCCCAAUGGAUUCAGGUAAUGUCACCAAAGAAUUUAGACACGAUAGGUUUAAGUUACACAGGUUUUUGAGAGCACAUAAUGAUGAGGGUAACCAUUUUAGACAACAGCACCUAGAAAGGUUCAGAACACGCAAGUUUUGAAGGCUCCCAAUGGAUUCAGGUAAUGCCACCAAAGAGUCUAUAUUUGACAGGUCUAGGUAAUGCAGGUUUUUGAGGUGACAUAUAGGUUCAAGUGAUAUCACAUUUUCGCACAAACUCAAAUUUAGUGCGUACAAAUUCUGAAGGUUGCUAAUGGAGGUCAGAGAUAGGCAACCUCCUAAAUCUAAAAUCCGCAAAUUCGUAAGCCUUCCUAGAAAUUUGGGUAGUGUACGGAUCUUGCGGCAGCUUGAAAGAUUCAAGGUUUGCAAGUUGCAGAGGCCGGUAAUUGAUUUAGGCAAUUUUUCUAUAUCGGUCCCCGAAAGGUCGAGGUAUCUUAAGAGCUUCAACUUACCGAUUGAGCUUGGCAGCAUAGAAAUUUUGGAAUCACAUAAUUCCAACAAGCGUAAGCAUUUUGCCUCGCUAUAAAAGGCCAUAAUAAGUGAACUAGAUUCCCUAAACUGAAGAGCUCGCAACCUCCGCUUUACGGUAAUUGAAACAUCUGGCGUGCAACAACUGUGUAUCGAGACAUAGCGGCAGCCUUCCGUGAUCCUUAUCGACUCUUCUCCACCUAUAACAGCAACUUCUUCUUUUGCCACACCUAUAACAGCAACUUCUUCUUUUGCCACAGAUUGUGCGAGGUCGUGCACUAAAUCAUGCAUACGGCAGAUGGUAACAUUUCUAUAAUUUUUCCCCACGUCUUGAAGAAAAGACAUCCAUAAUAAAUUGUUAAAGUACUUAUUCCCAAUAUCUUCCAUCGAAGUCCAUGUUUCUUGCGAUGAAAUGAAGCCUAAAGCAAUCCAUUGCCGGAUCAAGUCAUCCUUGUUAAUCUUGUAGUCCUUGGGGAAUAUGGAGCAGUAAGCAAAGCACUGCUUCAAAGCCGACGGCAUCUGAAUAUAGCUCAAUUUUAAUGAUGGUAAAAUAAUUCUUUCUUCCGACCUCGAUAUUUCGCUUUCUUCCGACCUCCAUAUUUCACUAUCUCUAAUAGCGGACCAUGCAUCCUCUGUCCUGCUCUUAAAGCGCAUCAUACUUCCUAAAGCAUUCGCUGCUAAAGGCAAGCCACCACACUUCUUAACUAUCUGCUUUCCAAUUUCCACCAAAGUCGGAUAGCCGUUCUCUUCCCCUUCCUUGAAUGCCAGCCUUUUGAACAAUGUCCAACAAUCAUCAUCCGAUAAGCCUUUCACACGGUGUGGUUCGACUGUUCCCAUUAUCUCGGCAACCUUUUCGCUUCGUGUGGUUACUAAGAUUUUACUUCCCUGCCUGCCGUCCUUAAAUACAACCUUCAAACCAUUCAAACCAUUCCACUUCUGCUGAUCUUCGUUCCAUACAUCAUCCAACACCAGCAAGAAUCUCUUCUGGCUAAAGAUCCUGUCGAGAAAACUCGAGGCGGAUUCCAAGGUGUCAAGAUUGCACUCCUCUUUGGUUUCGGUUGCGGAUUUGACCGACCUUGCAAUCGUCUUUCUGUCGAAAUCGGUAGACACGCAGAUCCACACCCGUAGAUCGAAGGGCUGCUGGCCCGUAACCCGCCCGUCGGCGAAGGCCAGCCGAGCGAGCGUCGUCUUCCCCAAACCCCCCAAUCCCACGAUCGGAAUGACCGACACGUUGUGAUCGCAGCCCGUCUCCAGCAGUAGCUUCACAAUUUUCUCUUUAUCAUCAUCUCUCCCAACUAUUUCCUUUUCAUCGAAGAGCGAGGAUGUCUCACGGGGCUUGAACUCAGCCUGCCGACCAGGGCCAGCUUCGGCAAGACCGAAAUCAUUUCUUUGUUUCGCUAUCUUACCAAUCUUUUCUCUGAGCUCUUUCAUCCUGUGUGCCAUCUCGCGCUUAAACUUCAGAUGCAUCGGAUUAGCGCGGGACAGAAAUCCACGUACCUUUUCAGCUUCCGUCCGGAUCUCGUCCAGCAGGUCGUCGGCGUCGUAGGCGGCGUCCUUCAGUUNCAGAUUGUGCGAGGUCGUGCACUAAAUCAUGCAUCCGACAGGUGGUAACCUUUCUAUAAUUUUCCUUCACGUCUUGAAGGAAAGACAUCCAUAAUAGAUUGUUAAAGUACUGAUUCCCGAUAUCUUCCGUCGAAGUCCAUGUUUCAUGCGAUGAAAUGAAGCCUAAAGCAAUCCAUUGCCGGAUCAAGUCAUCCUUGUCAAUCUCAUAGUCUUUGGGGAAUAUGAAGCAGUAAGCGAAGCACUGCUUCAAAGCCGACGGCAUCUGAAUGUAGCUCAAUUUUAAUGAUGGUAAAAUAGUUCUUUCUUCCAACCUCCAUAUUUCGCUUUCUUCCAACCUCCAUAUUUCACUUUCUUCAAUAGCGGACCAUGCAUCCUCCGUCCUGUUCUUUGAAUACAUCAUACUUCCUAAAGCAUUCGCUGCUAAAGGCACGCCGCCGCACUUCUUUACUAUCUGCUUUCCGAUUGCGACCAAACUUGGAUAGUCGUUCUCUUCCCCAUCAUCGAAUGCCAGCCUUUUGAACAAUGUCCAACAAUCAUCAUCUGAUAAGCCUUUCACACGGUGUGGUUCGACUGUUUUCAUUAUCGCGGCGACCUUUUCGCUUCGUGUGGUCACUAAGAUUUUACUUCCCUGCUUGCUGUCCUUAAAUAAAUCCUUCAGUUUCUCCCACUUUUCCUGAUCUUCGUUCCAUACAUCGUCCAGCACCAGCAAACAUCUGAUCUGGCUAAAGAUCUUGACAAGGCACCUCGCGAUGGUGUCCAUGUUGUCAAGAUCAUCACAAUUCUCGACAAGGCGCCUCGUGACAUCACAUUUCUGUCGAGCUGCAGUUAUCACCCGCUUUCCAAUUGUCUUCGUGUCGAAAUCGGUAGACACGCAGACCCACGCCCGUAGAUCGAAGCGCUGCUGGCCCGUAACCCGCCCGUCGUUGAAGGCCAGCUGAGCGAGCGUCGUCUUCCCCAAACCCCCCAAUCCCACGAUCGGAAUGACCGACACGUCGUGAUCGCCGUUAGUCUCUAGGAGAAGCUUCACAAUUUUCUCCUUAUCACCAUCUCUCCCUACUAUUCUCUUUUCGUUGACGACCGAGUAUGUGUCAGGGCGUUUGAACUCAGCCUUCCGAACAGGGCCAGCUUCGGCAAGACCGAAAUCAUUUCUUUGUUUCGCGAUCUUACCGAUCUUUUCUCUGAGCUCUUUCAUCCUGUGUGCCAUCUUGACCUUAAACUUCAGAUGCAUCGGAUUAGCGCGGGACAGAAAUCCACGUACCUUUUCAGCUUGCGUCCGGAUCUCGUCCAGCAGGUCGUCGGCGUCGCAGGCGGCGUCCUUCAGUUUGCGCAGCCAGUGGCGCAGAGCGUGGCUCUCCUUCCCAGCGCUGCUCCGCUCCUCGGCGUCGAGAAGCACCGCCUGGAUCGCCGAGAAGUUGCUUCUGAGAUCGUCCGCGUCGUCCUUGAAGCUCCGCAGCAGCCCGAUUUCGUCCCAGAGAGCGGAGCCCAGCUUGCCCAGCACUCCUUUGACCAGAUCGAAUGCGAUCCCCUCCGCCAUUGCUAUUACCAAAGCAGCUAGCUAGCUAUGUGCUUCUUCUCAAUACAAACGUCCUAGCAGAGAAUAUAUGGGGAUGAUAGGUGGUUGCUCCAAUUAUCGUGCUGCUGCUCUGGUAACUACGCUUGGGAAUCGUUGACCAUUUGCACGCUAGUCCCACGAUCGUCUUUAAUUAUCCUAUUGUACAGAUUAUAAAAAUACGUGCUGUUGCUGCGGAUGAUAUAUAGGUGGUUGCUCCAAGCAGCUAGCCAUCUCGUCCCUCAAUGGCUCAAUCGUUGACCUUCACUUAUUUCCUCUUCCGGAGGGGAAAAAAAAAAACGCAAUGGAGAUGUUUCAGAUUUCUGAAAGAUGCUUAAAUGGUAUUAUUUAAGAAAUUAAAAAAGCAUGUUAAAAAGUUUUGAAUUUGAAUAAUUUGAAUCCGGAUUCAAAAAGGAAUAGUGAAUCUUAAGUUGAACCCCAAGAAAUUUUAAUUUUCAGAUCCNCUCAAAUGACUUAUUCAUGAACAGUAAUAUGCAAUAAAGAAAAAAGAGAGAGAGAAAUAAUACAUAUUCAUCCGACAUAGAAGGAGAGGAAUCUGCAUUAGCAGCUUCACUUAGACAAUUCGAAAGUUUUAUCCGAUGACUCCAUUUUGCCAUUCUGUAUCGAAAAAAUCUCCUAAUAUCAUCUAUGGUCUUCUCGAAAGAGGAUAAAAGAGGGCCUUAGACCAAGAACAGUCUCUUUCCUUUUAUAUAAAUAAAUAAAAUUAGGAAGAGUUCAGAAAUUUUGGGAUGCUAUUGGCUAUGAUAAUAAUAAAAAGACUCACUUUCUAAAGUUAAGCUUUCUAUCCUCCUUUAGGCUAUCAACGAAGCUUUAAUAACCAAGAGGUCUUGGCUUUUAUUACAUGCAUACCAUUAUUUAUUUGGAGUUUGAUAGUCAUGGCUAGCUUUUAUUACAUGCAUACCACUAUUUUGUAUUUGGGAGGUGAGAGGGGAGCAGUUUUGGAAGAUGAGAAGGUAGUAGUUUUGGGGAUUCAUUUAGUUUUAUUUCUUUUAUUAUGUUAUAUGUAUGGAGUUACAUGCAUAUAUAUUUAUAUUUCAAAACAGUUUUGGAAAAUGAAGAGGUAGUAGUUUUGGGAUUCAUUUAGUUUUAUUUUUUUUUAUAAAACUUUUAUUAUGUUAUAUGCAUGGAGUUACAUGUAUAUAUAUAUUUAUAUUUCAAACCAUCAUUAAAAACUUUUAUUAUGUUAUAUGCAUGGAGUGACAUGCAUAUAUAUAUUUAUAUUUCAAAUCAUCAUUAAAAAAUAUGAAAAAUCUAAAAAAAGAGAGCUUGCCAUGUCAUCAUUCUUAUUGAGGAUUCAUAUAGAGUUAUAGAUAUAUGCAGAGUGGGUUGGAAUGCUUAUGGAAGCACGGAGCCUCCCGUGCUUCCAAAUUGUUUUCGAUGUUCGGACUUUCGAAUCGACGAUCGGCUCCGUUAGAGUGGAUCUAGAUAUUUGAAAUACCUAGAAAAUAAAUUUUGUGAUUUUUCGAUAUCAUUUGCCUAAUGAUCGAAGAGGUUCAAAAUCAAUAAUUUUAAUGGCCUUGGUGAGCUGUUUGCAAGUUUAACGGUCUAGAAAUAUUCAAAUCACAUGAAAUUUUGAUAGAAAAUUUUUUAUACCAUAUAAAACAAGAUCAAUAACUUUGAUCUAAAUUUUUAAUGUCAUAUCAUCACAUUUUGUGAGAUUUUUAUUUUCAGCCGUUGAUUUUGAGCCCCUUCGAUUACUAGACAAAUGAUAUUGAAAAAUCACAAAAUUUAUUUUCUAGGUACUUCAAAUACUCUAGAUCAAGUCUAACGGAGCCGAUCGUCGAUUCGAAAGCCCCAACAUCGAAAACAAUUUAGAAGCACGGAGGCCUCCGUGCUUCCAUAAGCAUACCAGCCGCACUCUAUACAUGCAUAAAUAUAUGUUAAAUAAAGGUAUAUGAUAAGCAUCUAGUUGGCGAAAAAUUCUAAAAUGCAACGGGUAUAUUGGUGACGUGGCAUAACAAACCAAUCAAAUAUCUUUUUUUAGGGGUAUAUGUCCCAUCAUGAUUGUAAAAAAAUAUCUUUAUUGUAUUUUUGUUUGAAAAGAAGGAAUGUGAUUGGCUUGUUAUUGAUAACGUGGUGCAAAUGUGAUAGUGUAGAAUUCCUCAUGACUAGCUUAAUCGGAGAUGACCCUCGUAUAAUUGAAAGGGCGUAGUUAACAGGGUACCUAAGAGUACCCGGAAAGCGUAAACCCAUUUUUAUCUCUGAUGAUUGUUAUCUAUUGUGCUAUAUAUCUCUUUACUCGUUAUUAAAGAAUAUAUAGUUCAAAAAAAAUACAAAAUAAAAUAAGGGGAUAAAAAAAGUUGCGCCGUCAUAAAUUCUCACGUUCACCUUCACGUUUUAUUUAUUUAUUUAUUUAAAUUUUUCGUUUUUCCUAUUGUUCAUUUUUCGGGAAAACAAACGCGAAAUAAUUAUUUUCUCCAAAGACUUAAGCUGAUAAAUAAUUAUGUUUUUACAUUUCCUCACGUCUAAGUUCGACGUGGAGUUGAAUUAGCCGAGAGAAAAAUUAAUUAGGCUAGGAGCCUGGUAUAACUCAACCUUAGAAUUUUCUUAUUUGAUACCGUGUUAAAUUAUAUGAAACAAUAAUUUUCUUCAAAAACGUAAGUUCAUGGGGAAUAAUGUUUUUAUAUUUUUAUGUUUAACAAUCUAGCAUACAUGUAUCAAUGCCCUAUAAGGAUGCUUUGCUGAAUCCUGGACAGGGGCAGACCUACUGAGAGGCCGACAAUGGUCAUGGCCCCCUCAACUUUUUGAAAAUUACACAAGAGUUCCUAACUAUGACAUAGAAAAAACUUAAAUAUUAUAAAUUUUAGGGGCCAAAGUGAAAUCUUUUUGUAAAAAGUUUGUGCUGGUAUAAUAUAAAUAUAUUAUUUAUUCUCUUUAGUAACCGGAAUUAUUUACAAUUUACAAAGUAGGAUACUCUACAGUCACAAUGCAAAAGAAGGAGGAUGCCUUUCAGAUACAAAGCCACCUGCUGAAUUUCGAACUAAAAGUUGUAGAACUUACACAAAAGGAGGAUGCCUUUCAGAGUCUGCAAAGAGCUUAUAGUCUGUUUAUUGUUUUUAUUUGUUGCUACUCCUUUAUUUUGCUUUUUUAUUUUGCUUUGGUUUUUGUUCACUUUUGUUGUCACUUGAAGUAAAUCCUAAUGCAUCCAAGAUGCAUGUUGAUGGCAGCGAGAGAAAUGAAACUCUAGUAGGAUGAUGAAUCAAAACUUCAUGAAGGAGGAAUUUUUUUUUUAGACAUCAAUGUUAUUAAUCAAUUCUCUUCUAUUUAUGCACUCAUUCCAUUUAUGAUUUUGCAGCUUUACUAUUAUGCAGCUUUUCUUAAACUGUGAAGUGUAUGCCCAAUGAUGAUUCUACAUCAAAAGGCAAAUAUGUACGGAUUGCUUGAGACCAAUUUAGAUGCUAGCGUAGAACUAAAAGCAAUCUUAAAUACUACAGUUAUUUAGAAGUUUUAAGAUUGAAACUGUUUCAAUUUUUAACUUAGCUGCUAUUAGUCUAAACUCGUCAUCCAUCGACACCAAUAUCAGGUACAUCAACAGGAGAAGCAACUGCAGCAACAUCUCAAUUUCAAAAAAAAAAAAAAAUAGUAUUAAAGAGUGUCCAAAAUAAGCUGCUAACUCCAAAACUACUCAGAUUGAAGCAAAGAUCCAUCCAAUACUUAAAAUGUUUUUUUUUUAAAAAAAAACACCUAAUUAACUUGAACCAUUUAUUUGAAUAUUUUUGCAUAACACCUGGCUUGAACCAUUCAAUUAAUUUUUCGACGAAACACCUUGCUUUUGAAGCAUACAUAUCCAACAACGCAUUUCACUACAUAAUGCAUCAAUCCAUAACAAACUAUAAAUAUCACGAAUGGAUCCAUGCGAUACAUAAAUGCACUUGGUAGUUCAUACAUAAACAUCUCUUGCUAAUUAAGGCUUUGUCUCCUUUUUUCGCUCCACAAUUAUAUGCAGCCAUGUUUCUUUCUAUCUAUUGAGAGCUCAAAUUUCCUUUAUCUUAAUCAACCAUAUUCGGAUCUAGGUGUGGGGGGGAUGCUCUGUUCUUCACGACGAAGAAAGACCCCCCGCUUUGCAGAGGUCAUAUUGUUGUUGUUGUUGUUGUGUGUCUUAUUUUUGGGGAUAAAAGUGUAUGUAAUAAAUCUGAAAGUUUUGUCAUUUAAAAUUAAUUACCUAAUAUUUAAAAACUUUAAAUUAAUUUUACUCCCUAUUCUUUAAACGCUUUACAAUUUUGUUUUAUCAAAAAUCACUGCCCACACCUGGUGCAUCCAAACAGGUGUGCACCAGGGUUUUAUUCAUCCUUCAUUUUUUUCUUAUUUUAUUCCAGCCAUUUUAAUUUGUAAGUAUAAAAAAUUACAGACUUUGUUUGUGGCACCUGGUGGUUAGAAGCAAUAUUUCUAUAUUUUGAAUGGUCCAAAAACUUAGCUUUAAAGCCCUUUUAAUCUAUCCUCCUCUGAAGCUAUAAAAUUGUGUUUAAUUAUUACUGAAGAAACUAUGCGGUUAUAUUUGUGCGAUACCUUAAUAUUUCAUCCAUAUGUUUGAUUUUCAUAGAAUAUUUUUUCCGAUUGUUACAUUGAAAAUAUAGUAUACACCAAGGAUCAAUUAUGGCAUACUGUAUUUUCUAAAGGAAAAAAAAAAAGAAAAAAAAAGGCAGAGUGCACAUGCACUGGGUAUAUAAUUGGCAAUAAUUUCAUGAAACUCAAAUCAGAAAGAAUAGACAACAAAUCAAAAAAUUUUAAAAAUUUCACGGUUAUAUUUCCAAUAAAAUAAAAUUUAAGUUAAUUUCGUACAAUUUUCCUUUUUGUACUGUUGGUCCCAAAUGUUAGGUACUCGAAAAUGCUUUAUGGCAAUAAUAAUAAUAAUGAUAAUUUAACAUAUUUUGAAGUAAAUAUCUCUUUUAAUUUUCCGGAUUUCCUGAAUAAAAAGUAAAAAUUUAUAUAACUUACCCCAACUGUCAGUUAUUUUAAUAUAAUUAUCUAAUCUUUAAAAAAUUUAAUUUGCUAUAUAAUCUUUUAAUUUAUUUGAUUUAAAUCAAACUAAUGACUCUUUAGUUUUAAAAUUUAAACAUAUUUUUAAUUACGCAGAUAUAAAUUUAUGAAAAUGAAUAAUUAUUCUAAAUUUUAUAUUGAGAAAGAAAUCAAAUCACUUAAAUCAAACAAAUUAAAAUGUGCAACAGCAUAAAUCGAUAUUUCCAUUUAUACCACAUGUUUUGUGAAAACCUAACCGGAAAACAGCUCACUUCCGUUGACUCAGUUUGAUUUUAGUAAUAAAUUGAUUUCGGAUUUGGGGAAUUAAAAACUAAAAAUCUCGCGAAAAGCAAAAUAAUAAAAUUUUAGUACUUCAAUAUAUAUCAGCUUCAGAUCCAAUCAAAUAAAAGAAAGGGCUUUUUUUGCAAAUAGCCCCCUCACAAAUAUUUAUUUUAAAAUUGGUCCUGUCAAAAUUUAAUUUGCAAAAAUGAUCCUGAUCCUGCCACGCAAGCGCCACCUCAGCGCCACGCGGGCGGGGCUGGGCCAGGUGUUUAAGUUAAACACGGUGAAUUAUUCACCGUGUCCAAUACAAAUAGGUAUUUGUAUUAGACACGGUGAAUGAUUCACCGUGUCCAACAUAAAUAGGUAUUUGUAUUGGACACGGUGAAUGGUUCACCGUGUCCAAUACAACUAUUUGGGACUUGGCCAUUUUUUGGCUAAGUAGGUAUUUGUAUUGGACACGGUAAAUGAUUCACCGUGUUCAACAUUGCCCCAACCCCGCCUGCGUGGCGCUGACGUGGCGCCCAUGUGGAAGGGACAAGGCCAUUUUUGCAAUUUAAAUUUUGACAGGGCCAUUUUUGAAAUAAAAUUUUUUCAGGAGGCUAUUUGCAAAAAAAAGCCCUAAAAGAAAUGAUAAAAUAAAAAUAAAAAUGUAUGGAAACCCUCUCAAGUGCAGUAUAUAUAUAUAUAUAUAUAUAUAUAUAGAGUUGAGCUAGAAUACUCUCGAUAGUAAACAGGGUGUUUUACUAUCGAGUUGUUUUCGAUGAUAGAGCUUCCANUCUAACUUUUCGCCAUGUUUAUUAUAUUAAAUCCUUAUAGAAUUCAAAAGGAUACUUUAACCUUUUUGAUAAAAUAUUUUAAAAUUUAAUAAAAAAAUAUUUUUUUAUUUUAUGAAACAUUUUGCACUUCGUUUAACGGAAGAGACUAAAUUCUAAAAGGAUCUAACAAAUCUUCCAAAGAAAAUUUCUUAUAUCAAAAUCGAAUUAAAAUCGAAAUUCAUAAAGCCCAAUUGGCCACUUUCAAAGUGCAGUGUAAUUUAGAUAAUAUAUAAUAUCUUUUUACCUCCGGAUAAUAGCUAGGUACAUAUACUUGUGCUCUCCUCGCUAACCAAUCUUCUUCUCCACCUUCACUGAGCUCUCUUCCUCCUGUGGCGAGCUGCUCGCUUGUUUUUUGUACCAGUAAGAACUACACCACAACAACACAAAAUGGUUAUUUUUUAUCCGACGCUCAUGCAACAUGUGCUGUACAUUUUACUUAGACAUUUUAAUAAUGUAUGAUAUAUAAGAUACCUAAUUUCAAUUUGUAAAGAAAAAUAUCCCAGAAUUCAAAUAGUAUAUCAACAAUAUCACCGAAAAUAAUUACUUUGUAAAUACUAUAUAUCGUUCAAGUAGAAAUUUUCUGGCAUCUCAAAUCGCUACAAAUUAAGAAAAGAUUAGAAUUUCAUUAAUUAGUCUAUGCACAUGCAAGAGACCACUUGAAAAUUUUUCCAGGAAACCAACCAUGUUUUCGAAUAUCUGAAUUGCACUUUUGAUAUUGAAAUGUAGUUUAAUGUGUUUUCAUUUUGCCGCAGUACGUUUUAAAUAGUUUUACUUGAAAAUCCUAUGAUUUUAUAUAUAUAUAUAUAUAUAUAUAUAUAUAUAUAUNUUUUAUUUUGCUUUGGUUUUUGUUCACUUUUGUUGUCACUUGAAGUAAAUCCUAAUGCAUCCAAGAUGCAUGUUGAUGGCAGCGAGAGAAAUGAAGCGAGUAGGAUGAUGACUCAAAACUUCAUGAAGGAGAAAUUUUUUUUAGACAUCAAUGUUAUUAAUCAAUUAAUUCUCUUCUAUUUAUGCACUCAUUCUAUUUAUGAUUUUGCAGCUUUACUAUUAUGCAGCUUUUCUUAAACUGUGAAGUGUAUGCCCAAUGAUGAUUCUCCAUCAAAAGGCAAAUAUGUACGGAUUGCUUGAGACCAAUUUAGAUGCUGAGCUAAAACUAAAAGCAAUCUUAAAUACUAUUAUUAUUUAGAAGUUUUAAGAUUGAAACUGUUUCAAUUUUUAACUUAGCUGCUAUUGGUCUAAACUCAUCAUUCAAAGACACCAGUAGCAUCACCCAGUACAUCAACAAGAGGAGCAACUGUAGUAACAACUCUAUUUCAAAAAAUAAUAUUACAAAGUAUCCAAAACAAGCUGUUUACUUCAAAACUGCUCAGAUUGAAGCAAAGAUCCAUCCAAUACUUAACAAGUAUUUUUUUAAAAAAAACCCUAACUUGAACCAGAAUCUUUUGGCAACACACCUAGCUUAAACCAUUCGAUUAAUUUUUUGGCGAAACACCUAGCUUUUGAAGCAUACGUACACAUUGCACUGUUUAAUGCAUUCAUAACAAACUGCAAAUAUCACUAAUGAAUCCAAACAGUACAGGUAGGAAAGUAUAACCGUUACCAAGUUACCAUACAUAAAUGCACUUGUUAAUUUAUCGUACAUAAAACAUCUCUUGCUAAUUAAGGUUUUAUCACCUUUUUUAUUUUAAAAAAGCCUUUGCUCCACAAUUGUAUGCAGCAAGUUUUUGUUCUAUCUAUUGGAGAGCCAAAAUUUUCUCUCUUAAUCAACUAAAAUCGUAUCUUGGUGCACGGGAUGCCCUGUUCUUUAUGAGAAAGAAAGACCCUCUUUGCAGUGGUCAUGUUGUUGUUGUUGUUGCUGUGUUUUAUUUUUGGGUAUAAAAAUGUACUUAAUUAAUCUGAACUUUCAUAAUUUGAAAUUAAUUAUCUAAUAUUUAAAAAUUUAAAUUAAUUUGACUAUCUAUUCUUUAACGCUUUACGAUUUUGUUUUAUGAAAAAUCACUGCCUACACCUGGUGCAUCCAAACAGGUGUGCACCAAGGUUUUAUUCAUCCUUAAUAUUUUCUCUUUAUUUUAUUUCAUUCAUUUAAUUCGUAAGUAUAAAAAAUUGCAACUAACCCGACUUUCUUUAGGAACGUAGUGGUAAGAAGCAACAUUUUCAUAUUUUGAAAGGUCAAAAAAUUUUAAAGCUGCUUCUAAUCUUUUCUCCUCCGAAGCUAUAAAAUUGUGCUUAAUUGUUAUUAAAGAACUAUGCGGUUAUAUUUAUGCGAUACUUUAAUAUUUUAUCCACAUAUUUAAUUUUUAUAGCAUUUUUUUUUUCCCGGUUGUUAAGCUGAAACUAUAGUAUAAAUCAAGGAUCAAUUAAUAGUAAUAAUAAUAAUAAUAAUAAUAAUAAUAAUAAUAAUAGUUUAACAUAUUUUGAAGUAAAUACCUCUUUUAAUUUUCUAGAUUUCUUGGAUAAAAAAGUNAAUAAUAAUAAUAAUAAUAAUAGUUUAACAUAUUUUGAAGUAAAUACCUCUUUUAAUUUUCUAGAUUUCUUGGAUAAAAAAGUCUAAAUUUAUAUAACUUGCCCCGACUGUCAGUUAUUUUAAUCUGAUUAUCUAAUUUUAAAAAAUUUCAAUUUUGCUACAUAAUCUUUUAAUUUAUUUGAUUUGAAUCAACUAAUGAUUCUUUAGCUUUAAAAUUUUAAAUGUAUUUUUAAUUAUGCAAAUAUAAAUUUAUUAAAAUAAAUAAUUAUUCUAAAUUUUAUAUUAAAAAAGUAAUCAAAUCGCUUAAAUCAAAUAAAUUAAAUUGUGCGGCAACAUAAAUCUAUAUUCCCAUUUAAACCACACGUUUCGUAAAACCAAACGGGAAAAGCACCUCAAGUUUGAUUUUAGUAAUAAAUUGAUUUCAAAUUUGGGGAAUUAAAAACUAAAAAUCUUGCGAAAAGAAAAUUAAUAAAAUUUUAGUACUUCAAAAUAUAUCAUCUUUGGAUCCAAUCAAAUAAAAAAAAUGAUAAAAUUAAAAUAAAAAUGUAUGGAAACUCUCUCAACUGCGGUACAUAUCUAAUAGGUUCAACUUGCAUGCAAAAAGAACCUCUAAUUCAACAAGGGCAUAACAUACACAAUGUAUACAUACUAGUAAUAAACUCAUUUACUAAAAAUUAAUGUACCCUUUAAUAUCCGUAUUAAGAAAUAGCAACAUUUUGUUUAUUCAAACCAAACAAUCUUUUUUAGGCUCAUAACAUGUAUAGAGAACACUAUAAAAUUACAAACAAUCAAACCAAAUUACAAUUCUUGUCCGGAAAGCUAAAUAGCACCAACUUGAAAGAGAAGGCCACAAGUCCAUGAAUAAAAACUCUCACCGGUGCAUGUAGAUAUAUAAAAUUUGUUUUUUUCUGGAAAAAAAAGGGGAAAAAAAAAAGCUCUUCUCAAAGGGAAAUAGUGGUCACCAAAUAAGCUGAAAGAGAAUUAUUUUUAUGUGAGCUAUACUACACUUUGAGAUAAAUAACUGAACUUCAAAAAAUUUAAUUCUACUCUCUAACUUUUCUCCAUGUUUAUUAUAUUAAAUCCUUAUAGAAUGCAAAAGGAUACUUUAACCUUUUUGAUAAAAUAUUUUAAAAUUUAAUAAAAAAAUAUUUUUUUAUUUUAUGAAACAUUCUGCACUUCGUUUAACGGAAGAGUAAAGGAUCUAACAAAUCUUUCAAAGAAAAUUUCUUAUAUAAAAAUCGAAUUAAAAUCGAAAUUCAUAAAGCCCAAUUGGCCACUUUCAAAGUGCAGUGCAAUUUAGAUAAUAUCUAAUAUCUUUUUACCUCCAGAUAANACACACACACACACACACACACACACACACAUAAUAGGUCCAUCUUGCAUGCAUGCAAAAAAGAACCUCUAUUUAAACAAGGGCAUAACAUACACAAUAUACUAGUAAUAAACUCACUUACUAAAAAUUAAUGUACCCUUUAAUAUCCGUAUUAAAAAAGUAGCAACAUUUUGUUUAUUCAAACCAAACAAUCUUUUUUAAGCUCAUAAUUGUGUAGAGAACACCAUAAAAUUACAAACAAUCAAACCAUAUCAUAAAAUAGUACAUUCAGAAAUUUAAUUUAUAUCACGAAAAUACAUAUAUAUAUUAACCGACAAUAGCACACUACAACUCUUGUCCGGCAAGCUAAACAACACCAACCUGAAAGAGAAAACCACAAGUCCAUGAAUAAAAACUCUCACCAUUGCAUGUAGAUAUAUAAAAUUUGUUUAUUUUUGGCAAAACUAAGAAAAAAAAACCUCUUCUCAAAGGGGAAUAGCGGUCACCAAAGAAACUAAAAGAGAAUAAUCCUUACGUGAGCUAUACUACGCUUUGAGAUAAAUAACUGAACUUUAAAAAAUUUAAUUCUACUCUCUAACUUUCCGUCAUGUUUAUUAUGUUCCUUAUAGAAUUCGAAAGAAUACUUAGCAUUUUUUGAUAAAACAUUUUAAAAUUUGAUAAAAAAAUAUUUUUUAUUGUAUGAAAUAUUUUGCACUUUGUUUAAUGGAAGAGACUAAAUUUUAAAAGAAUCUACAAAUCUUUCGAAGAAAAUUUCUUUUAUCAAAAUGAGCAUAUAUAAGGUUUACGAAUUAAAAUCGAAAUUCGUAAAGCCCAGUUGCCCGCUUUCAAAGUGCAGUAUAGUUUAUGUAAUAUUUAAUAUCUUUUUACCUCCAAAUAAUAGGAACAUAUACUUAUGCUCUCCUCGCUAAUCAAUUCGAUCUGCUCCAACAAUUCCUCCAACUCUUCUUCUCCUCCUCUGACGAGCUGCUCACUAUGUCCUCAUAUCGGUAUUCCCUGCACCACAACAACGCAAAAUAGUAAAUUUUUUAUCCGAAGCUCGUGCAGCACGUGCUGUACAUUUUUCUUACACUUUCUAAUAAUGCAUGAUAUAUAAAAUACCUGAUUUCAAUUUGUAAAGAAAAAUAUUCCAGGACUCGAAUAGUGUAUCAACAAUAUGAUAGAAAAUGAUUACUCGGUAAAUACUAUAUAUCUUUUAAGUAGAAAUUUUCGGCAUCUCAAAUCGCUACAAAUUAAGAAAAGAUUAAAAUUUCAUUAUUUAGCCUAUAGACGUGCAAGAGACCGCUUGCAAAUUUUUUCAGGCAACAAACCAUGUUUUCGAAUAUCUUAGCUCCACUUUCACAUAGUUGAUAUUGAAACUGUGCAACAGCAAGCUGCUAUUGUUUCAAUUGUACAAAUUAGUAAAGUUGCAAUUGCUGCAAAAUUUGUGGAAAGAUAAUUCCCUCGUGUAAUCUAUGAACUACUUGUACAAGUAAAAUAUUUUGUUGAAUAGUAAUUUAGCAUAUCAAAACAGGAAGGAAUAAGAACAGGGUAAAACUAAACUUAAAAAUUAGAAUCACUCUGAAUAUAAAUAAAACAAAAUCUCACAAAUACAUAAAUGGAAGGUAGAAAUCAAAAUUAAUUCUCGAGAAAGUGAGGAUUGGAGAUUGUGACUAGCGAAUGGUNUUUUUUAUCCGACGCUCGUGCAACAUGUGCUGGACAUUUUGCUUAGACAUUUUAAUAAUGUAUGAUAUAUAAGAUACCUAAUUUCAAUUUGUAAAGAAAAAUAUCCAAGGACUCGAAAAUAAUUACUUUGUAAAUACUAUAUAUCGUUCAAGUAGAAAUUUUCUGGCAUUUCAAAUCGCUACAAAUUAAGAAAAGAUUAAAAUUUCAUUAAUUAGUCUAUGCACAUGCAAGAGACAACUUGAAAAUUUUUCCACGAAACCAACCAUGUUUUCGAAUAUCUUAAUUGCACUUUUGAUAUUGAAAUGUAGUUUAAUGUGUUUUAAUUUUGCCUCACUACGUUUUAAAUAGUUUUACUUGAAAAUCCUAUGAUUUUAUAUAUUUUUAGCAAGAACUUGCGGUCAAGUAAAAACUAAAGUGCUAAAAUUAUUUAUAAACUAUGGGAUAAUAAAAUGAUAUAUUUUAUAAAAUAAAAGGUGUCCGCCUAUAUCUAAAUAUAUUCUUUCAAAUAGUACUAUUAUGCUUUAUAAAAUAUACUACUUUACUAUCUUAUAAUUUAUAAAUUUUAGUACUUCAAUAUUUUUUGAUAGUAAGUCCUUACGGUGGAAUAAAGACACAACAAUAAAAUAGCAAAGUGAAAUAUUUUAUAGCAAAUGAAAAUGCACCGAGCCACGUCGGGGUGGGGCUAACCGAAGUUUUUCCAUCUGGAUUUAAAAAUAAAAAUUAAAGAAAGAGGUUGAUAUGCUAGCUACAAUAGAAUAUUAAGGUGCUAUCCAGCUAAUUAAUUAAAGAGUAGUCAAAAUAUGCUGCAUAAAUGAAACAAGAAAUAUUCACCAGUAGCUAUUAGAAGGGACUAUUAUUUUUUACUAGAAAUAUAAUAUUUUCUCUUUGAAUAUUCGUAUCUGCUGGCCAUGAAAACUUUCACCAGGUAUCAAUUACAACAAUUUGGAUAAAAGGCCGUGAAGCAAAGAAAAAUUCGGCGAAUUGGGGGUCAGGAGAACCAAAGAAUGCUGAGGCCACAAGGAGAUUGGAAGAAAAAGAAGGCCGUGAAGCGAGUGGUCUGGGCAGAUGAAGUCGGUAGGGAGUUAUUGGUGAGCAAGGUUCCCAUUAAUGGCGGAGUUUCGACGUUACCUGAUACUACAAGUUCCUUGGCUCGAGACGCACUUGAAGGAGUUACUGCUGAGUUACAAAGAGGAUACGGGGUAGGUGAGGGCGAUUCACCUGGCGAUCCUUGGAUGAGAAAUGUAAGGAGGGUGGGUGGAAGGUCCAAUUCUGUAUUUACUGAGGGUAGGUCCUAUAAAGAGGCGCUUCUGAGGGGUUCGGGACCACAACCCUCCAAGCCACCACCAAGUUCACAACACUCUUCCACCUUCUGGAGUACGAGGAGUAGCAAGUCCAGGAGAAGUGGCGGCAAGUGUUUCCGGUGCCUUGCUUCGGAUCACUGGGUAGCUGACUGCCGUGACCCUAUCAAGUGCAUCAGGUGCCACAAGUAUGGGCAUCGCGCCUCUAUCUGCAAGGAGAAAGCCGGACCAACUAGAGACAGGAUGAACAGGAUUCUACAGAGGCGAGAACGUACGCCGAGAGUGUACGUCCCUUAUACUCAAGAGUUUCUGCAAAGGAGGGAUCAACGCCGGAACGCGGUGCUGGCCGAUGUGAUCCAGCCGGCGAACUUAGGCCCUGAACCCACCUCUACCAUUGCCAAUGCGCUCGCCCGAAGGUUCGGGGGCUACACCCAAGACUUUCCGGUCUCCCGUUUUCGGGAGCGAGACUUUGCAAUUUUCCUCCCAGAAUGGGUGUCAGCGGAGGUGAUCGCUAGGAGGGAAAUACUCACCUUGGACGGCUUCUGGCUGCGAUGUUUUGCGUGGGGUCCUUACCGAGACGCGUGCCCACACCGAAUGGUAUAUCGAGCGUGGAUCAGGCUGAUUAACCUCCCAUUUGAAUGCUGGACCGUCCCUCAGGUGGCGGCGAUUGUGUGUGGGUUCGGAAGGUUCGUCAAGGCCGACGAGGUGACGAAGGCGAUGACGGACCUUCGGGCUUUCCGCUGCCAGAUUAUCCUGGACACACUGACCGACAUCCCGCAAAAUCUGUCGAUCGUCCUCGGAGAGGAACGUUUCCCGGUGAUGAUUCAUCUUGAAAGUUGGGAGCGGGCCAUCGACAAAGCUCGCGGUGACCCACCUGGCCCACCACCGGGGGGAAACGGCGAUGGCAACCAACAGGGUGAGGGGGAUCGGCCUGACAUUCAGGCCAACAUCGACCAAGAGAUGAACGAGGAAGCAACUGGUGAGGACGAAGGCGAGAUUGACGAUGACGGACCAGUAACUGCGCCGAGUCGACGUACAUCAAGCGGACUAGAGAAGCCGACAACCCUGUGUUCUCUGCCGUUCCGACGCUCCUCGCUUGGGCUGUUCGGGCCGCCUGCGCCGAGCCGCCGUUUAUCGGGUGGACCAGAGAAGCCAACACCGCAGUAUACUCUGCUGAUUCGGCGCCCCUCGCCUGGGCUGUUCGGGCAGGCGGUGACGACUGAACGGCGAGGGGGGGGAGCGGGCUGAGGUUGAUGAGGUCCGGAGGGGGCAGGCAGAGGUUGACGAGGGCGGAUCUGAGAAUAGGCCGAACCGCCGAUCGUCAGGUGGAUCUGAGGAGUCGCCGCCGCUGCGUUCGCCUGGGCUAGUAGGGCGGGCGGGGAGGCCUGGAACUCCUGUUUGGUCGCGCCAUCCACAGUGUUCUUCGCAAUGCUCCCCGCCUGCUCGGCGACCGCCGGUGAGGGCGCUAGGCUGGCUUCGGGACUGGCGAGUGCGAGGACCGAGGAGGGCCAGUGCAGGGCGCGUCAACCUAGGGCGCCGCCUGGGCGAUGGAUCAUGAAAUCCGGCGCUGUCUCACAGAGGGGAUUCGAAGGGAUGGGUGUAGUUCACUGUAUUCGGGGUCUUUCCCCACCCUUGCCAAAUUUAAUUAUGGCAGGGGUAGGGUCGGAUAGCUAUGAGAUGGGUAGGCCUUUAAUGCUUUGUAGGGGAGAUCAAGUGCUUCUGUGGGUAGGGGGAGCUCUUUUCAAAGUGGUGGUCAGCCCUUCUUUGGGAUUGCGUACCAACCUUGAGAACUGGGCCUCCUCUAUUGGGGUCAACAGGGGUGCAUUGCCAGCUAGUACACCGGGUGUUGGGGUGGCGGCCCACGACUCGAGCCUGGGGCUCGUGGACUGGUUCGUGACGACUGGAGGAGAUCAGAAUGGCCAAAGCUCUGUCCUUGGCGAGUGCACUAAGUCGUUGACUGAGGAAGGGGACGAAGCUGACCAUGCCAAGGAAAAGAGGUCCAACGGCUGGGAAGGGAUCUGGGCCUACUCCGGGAAAGGGUUAACCUCGUCGCCGAAGAAGACUUUAAUCACCCCUACUCGAGCUAGUGAGCGGCUCGCCUGUGCUGACAGGAUCCCUAUCCUUCGCAAAGCUCUAAACAGGAAGAAGCGGCUUCUAGAAGGAGGAGGUGGCAGGGUCUCCGAGAGCACGCUGCGGAAGAUAGUGCAUAAGAGCAAGCGUUGCGGGGUGAGACUGGACGGAACGGAGGCGAUGAACUUCGCCGAGUUUGAGAGCUUCUGAGCUCUGGAAGGGGCUAGUGGUCUAGGUUGUGGACACCUUUUGGUUUUAUUUUGGGAGUCGUGUCUACGUUAUUGUUAUGCUUAGUAUCUGUAGCUGGAAUGUUAGAGGGCUUAAUGAUCCCUCCAAACGCUUUGUGGUGCGGGAUGUAAUUUCGAAUUUACGCAACUCCGUAGUGUGUCUCCAGGAAUCUAAGGUUAAUCAUGUUUCGGGGUCUUUCCUCCGUAGCUUGGCAGGGUCCUUCAUCGACAAAUGUGUUUUUCUUGAAUCUAACGGUGCGUCCGACGGACUGAUUACUUGUUGGAGUUCCCGGGUCUUCAGUUGUAAAGAAGUAAUCGUCAGAAACUAUUCCAUCUCGGUUCUAUUGGAAUUGGUUAGCUGCGGAACACGUUUUUUUGUCACGAAUGUUUAUGGCCCGGCUUCUUGGGACGGCAAGGAGGACUUCUUUUCGGAAUUAUUGCUCUUGAAGGACUGUUGUAAGGGUAAAUGGGUAACGUGUGGGGAUUUUAAUUGUACGCGAGGACCACACGAGCGUAACGGAAAGACCUGGAGCUCGAGAGCGACGGUUUUAUUUAACAAUCUCAUCAGGGACCUCGAAUUAAUUGAUCUCCCCAUGACAAAUCAAGCGUUCACCUGGUCCAACCUUCAGAAGCCCCCGACCUUGGCUAGACUGGACCGAUUUCAUGUGUCAACUGAUUGGGAUCAGGAAUUUCCUUCUUCAAAAGUUAUCGGUCUCCCCAGAGUGGCCUCAGAUCACAGUCCCAUCCUUUUAUCGGUCACCAACCCUACGAAGAGGACGAGAUUGAUUUUCCGUUUUGAACAUGCCUGGCUUAACCACGAGGACUUUAGGUCCAAGCUGCCAGGAUGGUGGGAGGAGGGGCGUAAGCAUAGUUCAGCUGUUCUAACUUUCACCGCAAAAUUGAGACACUGCCGUAGAAGAAUUAUACAAUGGUGUACCCACGAAUUCUAUAGCAUUAGACGAGUUAAGAACAAACUCUUGGAAGACAUUCAGAACAUCGACAAAGAGAAAGAAACGAAUCUUUUAACCCAGGAGUUAGCCGUUACGAGGGAUGAGCUUAAGACAAAACUUGCCGCGGUGCUUAAAGACGAGGAAGUGCUAUGGAAAAGCAGAGCGAAACAACAUUGGCUACGGGAAGGUGAUAGCAAUACCAAAUUCUUCCAUGCCGUAGCCAACGGCCACAAAAGAACGAAUAGAAUUGACACUCUAGAUGAAGAAGGAAGGGUGUAUCAAUCGGAAGGCGAGAAGCAGAAGUUAAUCUUACAGAAGUUUAAGAAUCUCUUCACCCCUGAAGACUGGGCACCAUCCUCUUUUGGAGAUUGGAGUGAGCUCUUUUCAACAAGGCGGGUCGACUCUAGUAACCAUACGCACAUUACGAGACCUUUCGGUGUUGAAGAAGUGAAACAGGCUGUUUUCCAGCUAGGACGUGAUAAGGCGCCAGGGCCAGAUGGGUUCCCUCUGUGCUUCUACCAAAGCUUUUGGGAUACUCUUAAGGACGAUAUCAUGAACAUUUUCCACGAGAUGUUUGAGGGCACGCUAAACACCGNAGAUUCUCCUUGCUUGUUCUGUGAAUGGCCAGAUACGCAACCGACGCCGGGAGGCAAGGCUCUGGGCUGAACUGAGGACAUUCAUAUAGAAUCAAGUUAGCGAGACACGGAAAAAGGGGAACUCGCUCUCGCCUGCCUUCUUCGUCAUCCACCGUCAUUACCGUCACCCAUUCUCGCAGCAUUGGCAUGGAGCACAAGUCAAGGCUCGUCAGGGCAGGGAACUUACCUACGCCGCCCCCGCCCAAAUUUGUUACUGCGGGCAUAUUUUCCAUAUAUAGUCGUUCAAGAAAAGGGAGUUGCCCCAGCGGCGGGAGUGAGCUGCAUACAGGAAUAUUAUCAAGUUUGAUUUCAACGAGAUUUGGGAGGCACGAGCCAAUCCUAUUCAUCAUCCAGCUAGGAAACUUCCCGCCUCCAUAGCCUUGUAUUUCCAAUUUCUCUAGCUUUUGAUGUGGUUGAAGAUUUUCUAGCACGGUUUCCAUCUCUUCCGCCGGUUGUACAGUACUAUCCGUGCCUUCUUCCGCACUUAAAACGUUCCAUACCAACUUCAAAGACCGCAGGUUCUUCUCUAUCAAAUUUGCAGCCUUGGCAUCAACCGGACUCGUUACAUUUUCGAGACCCUUGAUCCACAGCUCGUCGACAAGCUUCAAGUGCUCUAGCUCAGAAAUGCUAGCACAGUGUUCGACGCGGUCUUGCUUGCCAACCACAAAAACCGGUAAUUUCUGCAAGCUAACUAACUUGCCGAUCCCUCGAGGCAUGCCCUUCAAUUCCGAGCAAUUGUUGUUUAGCAAGACUCUAAGUUUGGUCAGCUUUUGGAUCAUUUUAGGCAGCUCACAUAAUUUUUCACAACCACUGAUGUCGAGUUUCUCUAAAUGCAGAAGAUCACUUGACGAUGAGGGUAAUGGUAGUAGGGAAUAGCACCCAGAAAGGUUCAGAAUACGCAAGUUUUGAAGGCUUCCAAUGGAUUCAGGUAAUGUCACCAAAGAAUUUAGACAGUAUAGGUUUAAGUCAUGCAGGUUUUUGAGAUCACAUAACGAUGAGGGUAAUGAUUCUAGAGAAGAGCAGUUAGAAAGGUCCAGAAUACGCAAGUUUUGAAGGCUCCCAAUGGAUUCAGGUAAUGCUGCAAAAGAAUCUAGAUGUGAUAGGUCUAGGUAAUGCAG
rnacentral:lncRNA from 1 species